rnacentral:hammerhead_ribozyme from 1 species
AUCCAGCUGUGAAGAGUCUUAAAAUAGGACGAAACGAGCGUCAUGGAU